UACAGAGGGUGCGAGCGUUAAUCGGAAUUACUGGGCGUAAAGCGUGCGUAGACGGUUAUGUAAGUCGGGUGUGAAAGCCCCGGGCUCAACCUGGGAAUUGCAUUCGAGACUGCAUAGCUAGGAUGCGGAAGAGGGAAGUGGAAUUUCCGGUGUAGCGGUGAAAUGCGUAGAUAUCGGAAGGAACAUCAGUGGCGAAAGCGACUUCCUGGUCCAGCAUCGACGUUCAGGCACGAAAAGCGUGGGGAGCAAACAGG
rnacentral:rRNA from 1 species